UUCAGCUAUAAUUCCAUCAAUAGUAUUCAAUUGAGCUCUGCAAAUGAUGUAUAUACUAAUAUACAAGCAGAUCUAGUUUUGUGCUGUAACUGGUGGAUAUGAUAUCCUGUUGUCUAUCAAAAAACGAACCUGUGCUUUGCAGUAUAUCCAGAGCAUACUGGAUUGUGGAGGUCAACAGAAGAGAAGAAUCCAGCAAAGCUAGUCCAUCUGUUGCAUGAGGAUCCUAAGAGCCGGUCAGAAGUCUUAAAAAAGAUGAGCUAGUCACUGCUAUUGGUUUGAAAUUUCUGAUUUUUGCUAGCAUUGCUUGUUUUUUGUUUUUGUUUUGUGAUUGUAAACAAACUAAAUCCACCUCCCUGAACAUGUCAUAUUUAUUAUGUGAUACUAACAAAAGAUUAAAUGUCAGAUUACCUAUCUCAUGCUUUUUCUUUGUUGUUAGAAAGCCCUUCCAUAAAUAGUGCUUGACUCGAUCACUUGCAGAUGCAUGCCAAAAAACAUGCCUAAUAAUUUGUAUAAGAGCAGUAUUUUCAUUGUAAUUUGCUCAUCAGUUAGAUUAUAACCAUGCAUAAAACACUCUCUCUAGAAUGUUCGUGUAUUUUCACCUUGCCAACAUUUAAGAAAAUAAAUUAUAAUGAUACAAAAUUUGGCUUUAUUUUUUUAAAACUAAUAAGGUCAAAUACUUCUUUCUCUUUUACACGUUUACUGUGUGCAGACUCUGAACGUGAAUCAUCAGAACUACAGAGUGAACUGCUCGAUGAAUUCGGUGGUGGCAUGAGACUUUAAUGACGGUUGGACCUAAAACCCUCCCAGUGCUGCAGCCUCUUAACACUCGAGCUCGCCAUUGUUCAAAUCAUCUCUCUUCUUUCUCCUCCCAUUGCCCAAGUUCAAGCUUGAGAUUUUCUUGAUUUGUAGAGAUGGCAUGUGAGUGCUGCAGGACAGAUCAAAGACAGGGAGCCUCUUCUUAUCUUUAGAAGAAUAAGACUCAUCUACAGGAAGAGGAGGCACAGAAACUAGAAAAAUAUCAGAAUAGUCUGCCUUUGGGUUGAGGGAUUCUGCAGAGGAGCAAACCAUUGGCUUUUCAUACACAGAGAGGCCACAUAGUUGCUUGAGAAAGGGGGGGAGGCAAGGUUGGGUGCUCCCAGAAUACCAGACAAACCGUUAAAGGGUGGAAGGGAUCAUAUGCAAGAGCUUUAUAGAAAGCAAUACUUGCCCACAUGGGUGGUGACGUAAUUUGUCUCUGGCAUCUUCCCUUCUCCAGUGAACUUAUUAGGUUACAGAUCCGAAGAACAAGCCUAGCUGGUGAUCUAUCAUAUGCCGUGAUCAUGAGUAGGUUUGGACGAAGAACGAUUCUCUGCUUGGAGGAUAUAUUCCAGUAGCUGACGUCGCAGUAAAUGGGCAAGAAAAUAAUGAAGAUUUUGCACAAUUUUUCUCUUCCUGGCAAGACUUGACUCACAAUGCUGCUACCAAUAUGUAUAAGGAUACUUGUUCAUGAUUCAUAGACGACUACUAGCAUGAGAUUAUGUUUGAAUCUCAUGGAUUUGCAUGGAUACAGUCUUUGAGUGGCAAUCAUUUUGAUAACAUUUUGAUUGAGUAAUUUGAGUGUUGAUUUUAAGUCC